rnacentral:lncRNA from 1 species
UUCAAAAGAUCCAACUGAUGCUGAGGUAGAAAUUGAAUGUCGGCGCCCCCUAAUCCUCCUCUGCGGACUCUUGCGAGGAUGUCUCUUCAGUCUCCUGCAACACACGGAAGGCAGGUUGUCUGUCAUGUAAACAGCCUCGAAAACCACCCUUGAAGUUUCUGUGAAAACAUUCAACAUCUUGGAAGGGGUGAGCGCCACAGGACAACGGGGUUUCCCAGGAUUCCCUCGCCCCUGCGCCACACCACACGUGGAAGAUCCCCACAGGAUGAAGAUGCUGGCCUUCUCUACGGAUGCUGUACAGGUUCCCGUACAGCCCAUCCAUCUCUAUCUUCCCACUGUUCUCCCCUCACUCCCAUGGCUCCCUACUAAGGAAAUUCAUACAUUUCUUGCCUUUAAUCCCUUGUCCUGAGUGGUCUCUGUGCUCACCGCCUGAUGCCGUUGGGACUGUGACCACCCACGAUACUCAAUUUUCACCCAUGGUACAUUGCUUCGCUACACGGAAGAAGUUAUUUAGAACAGCUCAUUUCGAGCCUGCUUAUACAUACAAUGUUUAUGCAUAUUUACAUCAAGGCAUGAUUACUAGUCAGAGAUCUCAAUGCUGAGCAUUUCUUGCCCAGCUGGAGAGAGCGCUACGUUCACAGCUCAAAACAAUCCACGCCCCUAGUGCAGAAUGAGAUUGGCCGCAGAGACUCGGUCCAGCCACCUGACCCAGCCUGACACAUUUUUGUCUUCUGUAUGGAACACAUUUUCAGAAAGGUUUCUAUGUAAUGUCUAAAUCCUCUCAUUGCCUGGAAGAAAAUUUUUCUUCUCCAAAGCAAAAAAGCCAAACCUCUGUGGCCUGAAAUGUCCAAACGUUGAGAUAAAAUAACAUUUUCUUCUUUUUAACUUGAUUCCCUCAGGUAUUCUGUUAUUGUAAUAGAAAGCUAACACACUUUUUAGAUAUGAUUUUAUCUUUUAUAUAUCUCUUUAUCUUUUUUCUUAUAAGUCAGUUCAUGUGAUGAAAGCUAACAAGAAUUAAACCAAGAUAUAAGAACCUAGAUAAUGAGUUCUGAUGAGUCUCAAGUAAAUCAAAGAAAAUGACUGUAGGCUUUUAGGAAUACAAGGAGACCCCAACUCCAACUGACUAGCAAGGAUAUAAGUUUUUGAAUAUAGCCAGCGCCGUGAUGAUACACCUUCCACAGUGGUAAAUUCUGGGAGUCAAAAGUUGCUCAGAGUCCGUCUUUCUACCCUGUUAUCUUACGUCCCCCUCCCUUCUCCCCCUCCGUCCCUCCCUCUCAGAACCACAAGAGUGAGAGGUGUUGAUUUAGUAAUGAAAUGUUCAGCCAAACAGUGGUUCCCAACCUUCCUAAUGCUGCGGCCCUUUAAUACGUUCCUCAUGUUGUGGUGAUGCCCCCAACCAUAAAAUUAUUUUUGUUAUUUCAUAACUGUCAUAUUGCUACUGUUAUGAAUCCUAAUAUAAAGGUUUGAUGUGCAGGGUAUCUGACAUGAAGCCCUCUGUGAAUGAGUCAUUUGACAGCCCCACCACCACCACCACCACCACCACCACCACCACCACCACCACAAAGGAGUCAAGACCCACUAAGCCAGAGGACGAAAACAAACAAGCAAGCAAGCAACACUAACACACUCUUCCUUCAUGCUGAGCAAAUUUCCCUGUCAGGUAACUGGACCAGUUCCAGCAAGUUAACCCAUCCCCGAUUCUUGGAAAAAGAUCACUUUGUGUCACCAAACCAAAUGACAAUAAGGAAGGGAGACAGAGUGCCAAUGGAGUUUGGCUUCAGUUAAUUUGGCUUCCACUGUGCUGGCCUGCCCGUGGUGGCUGAUGGGAACCCCUUCCUGGCUCUGAAAUCAACUCGCACAGACUUUCCCUUGGAUGUUGCCUUGCUCUGUCCGAUGAGGCAGCAGCACAGUCCCUCUUUCUACAAUGU